GUCGAAUUCACGCAUUGAUUUACACCCUUUGCAUUUUCCAACACCCUAAUAAAAAAUUUCAACUUUGUCCAACAAAAGAGUAUCAAUGGCUCUGUGAUAGAGGUAGAAGAUUCGUGCAGAAUCAUAAGCCUCUAACUGGAUCUUGUUUUACUUAUAAACCUGGAGUAAGGAAAAUGCAUCCAAAUAUUUAACAUAAUUGUCCACACAAUUAGCAGUCGCAUUUAAAUUUGCUAGAUAAACAUAUUUGCACCUACUGCAUACAGAAAUAAGGUUUGUAUAAAAAAAUUGGUCCUCGAGCCAUGUUCUCUCACAAUGUAAAGUUACUUUCGCCUUAAUUUUCUGGAGGCCUUAGAGCCUUCAAUUUUCUUCUGUGCAGCUUCAAAUUCUUCUUCUGUAGGUUCAGGAGCUGCAUUACCACCAUAUUUGGACACAAGAGAUGAGGACAUGGAAUCAAACCGAUCUUUUCUCUCAUUUCGGCGCUGAGAUAUAAUAGCAAGUAGAUCUGCUUCUGAUUGUUCAUUUGAUUUCCCCUUCCUUUUUAAAGGACUAGUAGGUGGUUUUGUUUCGGACACUUGCUUUGCCCAUUUGUGGUAUGCUUUGGUUGCCUCCAGUUCCCCGGCAGAAAUUGCCUCAUCCAGAAUAUCCUUGAAUCGGUGUGAAUCAAGUUUAGGAUCAGAACAAAGCAUCGAACAGAAGAGCCUGUUCAUAUUACCCUUGCACCUUUUAUAGAGUUCAAUCAAAUCCUUUUUCUCUGAAUCAGAUCCCCUGUAAUUUGCUUCAAAUUCUUCAAUAUCAGCUUCAGUGACCUUUUUAUACAGGGCUCUGAAAAAAUCCCUCAAAUUCUCAACAACAUCCCCUGCAAGAUCAGCAUCAUCAACACAACCAGUCUGAUCAUAGACGGCCCGUUUUUCCUCAUCACCAAGAAUUGAUAUCACCUUUUGCAAUUGCUGAAAUUUUUCUUUAGCUUCCUCAUCACCAGGAUUUUUGUCAGGGUGUAGCCGCAAGGCCAACUUAUAGUAUGCUUUCUUUAUUUCCUGUUGAGAUGCUGUCCGCUCAACCCCAAGAACCUCUUUGUUGAAACUUGAAAGGAAUCCUAAAGACAAUACUGAUUGGGGGGCGGCUUCUCACAUUAGUUAUGUUGUCCCAGGUGAAUCAUCCUAUUACAGAAAACUUAAUUUCAAUAAGCAAUCCCAAGUCCAGCUCAUAAGACACGAAGAAACUCACCCUGAUGGAAAUAGAAGAGGCGUAAAAAGGGCCUUUCUUAUCAUUGUGAUGAAUUUUUUGCACUAGGGCACAAAUGCAGACAGCCUUCUGUGAUUGAAGUAGGCGGGGAAGAAAAGAAAUAAUACAAUUCAAAUAUGGAACUAUAAGAGCCGAGCAGACGUGUCACCUGAUGGAGCUUCCUAAACCGAUCAAUUGAAUAAGGCUCAACCAGGUGACUAGGUUGAACGUGGAAGGCGGCUAGGAUGGGAGAAGGUGAUUCAAGCGCCCACCUCAACUGCAGAAGACCGCCAAAAUGGUAAAGGGCAAUCUGAUUGACCAACCUGUCUAGAAGAUAUUUUCUUCUCACAGGCUAAGCAAAAUUGAAGGGAAUUAGUCAAUUAUUUUUGGGCCUUGAUUACAGAAAUUUUGCAACAAUUGAUUCCUAUGCUUGUUGGUUUGAAUUUGCUAAAUUUUUUUAAGUCAAUUAUGUAAUUCUAAGUCGAUUGCAAUUGCCAAUUAAAGGUGCAAUAACCUAUGUAUUUAUACAUGGAUUGAAAUAAGAAUAAAGGGGGAGAAAUUUCAAAGGAUUCUUUUUUUUUUUUUUUCUUUUACAAAGGUUGCAAGCUCCAUCAUUGAUCUUGUAGGUUGCAAACUACCUUAUGAGCUUGUUUUGAAUUUCACCAUAGGUGGAGGAAAGAAUAAAUUGAAAUCCCCUUUCAUUCACAACCAUGUCUCCAUGACGCAAUCCAUAACUCGGGGCCUUUUCAGAUUCUUUAUAUAGGUUUCCACAAUCCUUAAAUUCUCAUCUUUUCAAUCUGCCAAUAUAAUCUUUCAAUUUGAUUAUAGGCCAUUUCCUAGGUAUUAUCCCUACAAAAUAGAAUUCUAAAUAGAAAAUUCUAAAGAUAGGGCCUGUUUGGCAUUGCUGUUGAA
rnacentral:misc_RNA from 1 species